rnacentral:snoRNA from 1 species
UGCAGCUGCGUCAAAUUCGGUCCCCGCCUCUUCUGUGGCAGGGACUGGUCCAAGCAGCUGCCACAGCAACAUCUGUAGUUCAUGGGGCCCAGGGACCCCUCGUUCCAGACCCUGGGGAUACAGAUAAGCUACAGACACCA